AUGGAAGAUAACAUUAUGGAGAAUUUUCUGCAGACCAUCACUACUAAAGUCAAGGGAACACUGAAGGACCACUUCAAAAAGUGUGACAGUGGUUUUGACCACAUCCUUGAAUCCUUAAAGCAAAACUUUUUGACCUUUGGGAAGAAAAAAACAGAUAUAUAUGAGGCCCUUGUCAAGGCUGUCAAUGCCAUCAUUAUUACAGAAUACAUGCAGGCCCUCCUGACCACUCCCAGGAAACCAUCUGCUAUGCAGAGGAGGAGGAUUGUCAACAAGAUGGAAGAAGAUCAUAGGAUGAUGCAAGCCAUCUUUAAAGAGUGCUUAGGUCCUGCAGCUGGUUCUCUCAAGGAUCCCAUAAAAGCAAUUUUAGAUCUUGUUCAAACUUCUGAUCCUGAGGGGAUGAAAAUAGCACUUCUGCCCAUUCUAAAAGAAUUUCCUGACCUCAGGAAGGAACAUCUGAGUGCAGUGCUGGACAUCAAAGAUUCGCUCAGCCGGGAAGACAGAGCUGCUCUCUUGAAGGCAUUUCAUGAUAAUUGCAGGGAAUGGGAAACAGAAGCAAACAUGCUCUUUGCAGAUAUAGAAGUAAAACCUAGCAAAUAUGGACUCUGUGGCUGCCUCUGCUGUUAGCAAAGGCCUGCUGGGAGAAACACGAGGCCUUGUUCUGUUGUGCCAGGAUCUGCAACCACAGCUCCUUGAAAGCUUCAUAUGCAGCUGGAUGCAUGGAGAAGCCUGUCAGCCAUGGAAGACAAAAUUCCUGCACUUUUGCAGGAAAACUACGAGGCUCAAAUCCUAAUAUUAUAUGUAAAGUCCAGGAGGAAGAUGAAUGGGAUAUGGUCAAAAGAGAUUUCUUCAAAAUUUCCUAGAGACUGCCAUUCAGCUGAGUCCUGGUGGUUAUUCCCAGGAUGUGGUGAGUGUGGAGGAGCGUUUUCCCUCACUGAAUUCCUCUGUUUCCAUCCCUUGUUCCAUGAAAUAUCUCAUGAAACCAGGGACUGCUGCACCACAUGGUGUCCCAGCAUUGCAACCUCCUGAGGGAUCCAAGACCUCUGUUAGGGAAUAUUGCCUGGCUGAUUGUGCUGGCAAUGCCUGCAGGUCUGGGCACCUCAGUUUACUCCCCAAAGCCUAACCUGCACCAGGAGGGUGCAGAGAAAGCUUCCUCUUCCCUCUCUUAUGAAGGCUUAACCUGCUUUGGGGGCAGUCUGUCAUGGUGGGGUGUGGGAUGGGGAGCUCUUCCUGUAUGAGUUUUACAGCUGGCUCAGGAACAUAGUCUUGCAUCAAUUUUUAUACCUCAGUAACUGGAAAUUUCCUCUUGCAGAAGGAGGGGAAAACCUCAUGAGAAAUAAACAGUAAAAGAAGCUGUUUGUCCCA
rnacentral:lncRNA from 1 species